AAAAUAUUUAAUUAGAUGGACAAUUAUCACUACUUUUAGAAAAUAACCAGAAUUUAUCCAACUGUACGUCAAUCUUUAUUUGAGAAAUGACCUUCUCCAUUUAGACCUGGUCGAUUUAAACCGUGAAUUGAAUCAGAUCAAAUCGAGUUAUAAUUUUGUUUGAUGGAUUUAUAUGAAAUCGGGUUAUUAGAGGGUCAGUUUUGGUCUCUUAAACCUAAA
rnacentral:misc_RNA from 1 species